rnacentral:rRNA from 1 species
GUGAACGCUGGCGGUAGGCCUAACCCCUGCCAGUCGCACGGCAGCACAGUAAGAGCUUGCUCUUACGGGUGGCGAGUGGCGGACGGGUGAGGAAUACAUCGGAAUCUACUUUUUCGUGGGGGAUAACGUAGGGAAACUUACGCUAAUACCGCAUACGACCUACGGGUGAAAGCAGGGGAUCUUCGGACCUUGCGCGAUUGAAUGAGCCGAUGUCGGAUUAGCUAGUUGGCGGGGUAAAGGCCCACCAAGGCGACAAUCCGUAGCUGGUCUGAGAGGAUGAUCAGCCACACUGGAACUGAGACACGGUCCAGACUCCUACGGGAGGCAGCAGUGGGGAAUAUUGGACAAUGGGCGCAAGCCUGAUCCAGCCAUACCGCGUGGGUGAAGAAGGCCUUCGGGUUGUAAAGCCCUUUUGUUGGGAAAGAAAAGCAGCAGGUUAAUACCCCGCUGUUCUGACGGUACCCAAAGAAUAAGCACCGGCUAACUUCGUG